GGGGAUAUAGCUCUGUGGUAGAACAUUCGACUAGAGAUCGAGAAGUCCCCGGUUCAAGCCCGGAUGCUCCCU